GCCUCAACAUUAAAGGGAUAUGUUCCUGGGAUGCUUCUUGAAUGUAAAAUUUCGUGAAUAACAUUCAUUAAUACCCAACCUUUAAUAUCUUACCUUAAAUUAAGGACUGAAGGCUAAAAAAAUAUAAAGAGCAAAACCUAUUCUUAAGCCCUCAAAAUACUACAUAGAUACAUAGUUAGUUCAUACAGUUGUAUUAUGUGAAAAAAAUAAAAGGAGAGCAGGUGAAUGUGGUGUGAUGUUCGGGAAGUCAACUGGAUCACAGUAAAUGCAAUGCGUCAUCUGUGGUCUGCCCCACCUAGCUUGUAUCACCACUGUGCCAUCUUUUACAUGAAUACACGCUUGACAUGCAACACUGUGAAUGAAACAUGCUUACAUACUGAGUAUUAGGUUUUCCUUUAACAAACAUAUAACUGGGAAAAAUUUAAAAAUUUUCCCAGUCAUAAAAUGUAAUAGGGUCUUCAUUAUCCGAGUACUUUUCAUUAUCCGUGGAUCCGCAGUUACAAGCACAACUUUUUUUUUUAACAAUAUAUAAAAAUUUCUGAACUUACGAAGAUUCAGAAUGAAAUCCAUCGGUCGAAAACAUAAAGUGCAGUAACAGUGAAAUUGUACUUUUUUUGUUUGCAUUGUUGUGCUUUUGGUCACAUUGGUGAAAUUUAUUGUACCCAUGAAUUUGAAGCCAAAACAAGGCAGUGUAGUGUCUUAAAGGAUGCAUAGUAGCUAUGGGAUGGAUGUGAAAUUAGAAGUGAUGAGUUGUAAGAAGAGAGCCUCUCUCAUUCAGCCCUAAUCCUACUCUCCCAACAUCCACCUCCAUCCAUCCAAUCAAGCCCAACAUCUCUAUACUUUUGAAGAUGCACUACCACCAGUUAAUUGCCUUUGAGGAGCUAUGACAAUGUUAUAAAGUUAGACUUCUUCAAGAGGAGGAGUAACAAUUCCUGCAGCCUGGCAACAGCAGAGACGACACGGAUGAGACUGGUGGGAGAAGCCGGAAGAACACAGCUGGCGAAGCAGCAGGAAUGCAAUGAUGUGACAUCUGGCGGAUGUCAGCAGUUUUUAAAAUAAGCACCAUACCUUUACAUGGGGGCUCCUUUCACGGAUAGCUGAAUUUGCAUGUGUUGAGGUUCUGGUAUAUUCAGUUGAAUAGCAAUCUAUAUAAGAUAAUAUAAUGUAAGAGAAUGUAAAAUGAAACUCUAUUUUGUACCUGAUCUUGAGUAAUAAUAAUAAUAUAUUACUGUAUCAGUAAUGACUGUAAUCUUAUUUAUAUUUACUGUAGAGUAUAAUAAAAGAUUUUUCAUUGUC